ensembl:ncRNA ZK836.11 ncRNA
GAAUGAAGUGUAGUAAUUGAACAGAAGUUUUAGUUUUCCUUCAAAAUUGUUGAACCUCAUGAAUUUUUUAGAUGCCUCAUUAUGACCGUACAUUUUGAAUGUUUUAGAGCAAUACGACAAUUGUCUGAAUCUAUAAUUUUG